CUUGUUCAACAGAGCAGGAGACUGAGGUUUGGACGGGGAAAGUAGCCCUUUAUCACAAACAAACAGGAAAACAACAGUCAUCCUUCCAGGCCCUCCCUGGAGGAGGGCAUCGUUCAUUUGCAAGGAUUUGGAUCUGCCAGCCUGCAAACCGACCAUCAGAACCAAAAGAGACAGACACAGACAGACAGACAGGCAGAGCCGCAGUGCACACAGGGCGUGUGUCGGAGGCCGCCUGGAGACUCACCGCAGCAAUGCUACGUGAAUGCAGAGGGCUGGAGGUGGUGUGACUACUCACUUGCUCGGCUAACAGCUGCCGGUUUUGGAUGGAAUUAUUCCGCAA